UGGUGGUAAUAGCAAGUGUGAACCACCCGAUCCCAUUCCGAACUCGGACGUGAAACCGCUUCACGCAGAUGGUACUUUGUCUUAAGACACGGGAGAGUAUGUAGCUGCCAG
rnacentral:rRNA from 1 species